GAGAAUACCAAGGCGCUUGAGAGAACUCGGGUGAAGGAACUAGGCAAAAUGGUGCCGUAACUUCGGGAGAAGGCACGCUGACACGUAGGUGAAGUGAUUUACUCAUGGAGCUGAAGUCAGUCGAAGAUACCAGCUGGCUGCAACUGUUUAUUAAAAACACAGCACUGUGCAAACACGAAAGUGGACGUAUACGGUGUGACGCCUGCCCGGUGCCGGAAGGUUAAUUGAUGGGGUCAGCGCAAGCGAAGCUCCUGAUCGAAGCCCCGGUAAACGGCGGCCGUAACUAUAACGGUCCUAAGGUAGCGAAAUUCCUUGUCGGGUAAGUUCCGACCUGCACGAAUGGCGUAAUGAUGGCCAGGCUGUCUCCACCCGAGACUCAGUGAAAUUGAACUCGCUGUGAAGAUGCAGUGUACCCGCGGCAAGACGGAAAGACCCCGUGAACCUUUACUAUAGCUUGACACUGAACAUUGAGCCUUGAUGUGUAGGAUAGGUGGGAGGCUUUGAAGUGUGGACGCCAGUCUGCAUGGAGCCGACCUUGAAAUACCACCCUUUAAUGUUUGAUGUUCUAACGUGGACCCGUGAUCCGGGUUGCGGACAGUGUCUGGUGGGUAGUUUGACUGGGGCGGUCUCCUCCUAAAGAGUAACGGAGGAGCACGAAGGUUGGCUAAUCCUGGUCGGACAUCAGGAGGUUAGUGCAAUGGCAUAAGCCAGCUUGACUGCGAGCGUGACGGCGCGAGCAGGUGCGAAAGCAGGUCAUAGUGAUCCGGUGGUUCUGAAUGGAAGGGCCAUCGCUCAACGGAUAAAAGGUACUCCGGGGAUAACAGGCUGAUACCGCCCAAGAGUUCAUAUCGACGGCGGUGUUUGGCACCUCGAUGUCGGCUCAUCACAUCCUGGGGCUGAAGUAGGUCCCAAGGGUAUGGCUGUUCGCCAUUUAAAGUGGUACGCGAGCUGGGUUUAGAACGUCGUGAGACAGUUCGGUCCCUAUCUGCCGUGGGCGCUGGAGAACUGAGGGGGGCUGCUCCUAGUACGAGAGGACCGGAGUGGACGCAUCACUGGUGUUCGGGUUGUCAUGCCAAUGGCACUGCCCGGUAGCUAAAUGCGGAAGAGAUAAGUGCUGAAAGCAUCUAAGCACGAAACUUGCCCCGAGAUGAGUUCUCCCUGAGACUUUAGGUCUCCUGAAGGAACGUUGAAGACGACGACGUUGAUAGGCCGGGUGUGUAAGCGCAGCGAUGCGUUGAGCUAACCGGUACUAAUGAACCGUGAGGCUUAACCUUACA
rnacentral:rRNA from 1 species